rnacentral:rRNA from 1 species
UACGUAGGGAGCAAGCGUUGUUCGGAUUUACUGGGCGUAAAGGGCGCGUAGGCGGCGCGGUAAGUCACUUGUGAAAUCUCUGAGCUUAACUCAGAACGGCCAAGUGAUACUGCAGUGCUAGAGUGCAGAAGGGGCAAUCGGAAUUCUUGGUGUAGCGGUGAAAUGCGUAGAUAUCAAGAGGAACACCUGAGGUGAAGACGGGUCUCUGGGCUGACACUGACGCUCAUGCACGAAAGCGUGGGGAGCAAACAGG